UUUUUUUACACGACUCAUUGUGUAAUUGUAACAAUAUACAGGAAAUUAAUUCCUUUCGUUCACCUGACCUAGAAUUCCUCACAAUCAAAUGCCGACCGUAUUAUCUCCCAAGAGAAUUUUCUUCCGUUAUUGUCACAGUCGUGUAUAUCCCCCCUCAAGCCGAUACCACGACGGCCAUCAAGGAACUUCAGUGGACUUUAUGCUAACUGGAAACCAUAUAUCCUGAGGCUGCAUUUAUUGUAGUUGGGGACUUUAACAUAGCUCAUUUGAGAACAAGGCUACCUAAAUUCAAUCAGCAUAUCGUCUGUAGCACUCGCACUGGAAAACACUGUACCACUGUUAAUCUAACUACCUCGAUGCAUACAAGGCCUUCCCCCGCCCUCUUUUCGGCAAAUCUGACAAUGACUCCAUUUUGCUCAUCCCUUCCUAUAGAAAGAAACUCAAACAGGAGGCACCCGUGCUAAGAACUAUUCAACACUGUUCUGACCAAUCGGAAUCCAAGUUUCAAGAUUGUUUUGAUCACAUGGACUGGGAUAUGUUCCGGGAAGCCACAUCGACAUAUACGCUGAUUCGGUGAGUGAGUUUAUAAAGUGUAUAGGAUAUGUUUUACCCACUGUGACUAUUAAAACCUACCCUAACCAGAAACUGUGGAUAGAUGGCGGCAUUCGUGCAAAACUGAAAGCGCGAACCACCGCAGUUAACCAUGGAAAGGCGAAUAUGGCCGAAUACAAACAGUAUAGUUAUUCCCUCCACAAUGCAAUCAAACAAGCAACAUGUGAGUACAGAAACAAAGUGGAGUCACAAUUCAAAGGCUCAGACACGAGACGCAUGAGACAGUGUCUACAUACGAUCACGGGCUAUAAAACGAAAACCAGCCAUGUCACGGAUACCGACAUCUUGCUCCCAGAUAAACUAAACACCUUCUUUGACCUGCUUUGAGGAUACUACAGAGCCACCCAUAUGGCCCACUACCAAGGACUGUGGGCUCGCCUUCUCCGUGGCCGACGUGAGUAAGAGCAUGCGCAGACCAAUCUCUCCCUAUCCCAGUCUGUUGUCCCCACAGGCUUGAAGAUUUCCAUCAUUGUUUGUUCCUCCACCCAAGAAUACAAAGGUAACUGAACCAAAUGACUGUCGCCCCGUGGCACUCACUUAUUUCAUCAUCAUAAGUGCUUUGAGAGACUAGUCAGGAUCAUAUCACCUCCACCUUACCUGUCACCCUAGACCCGCUUCAAUUUGCUUUCCACCCCUAUAGGUCCACAGACGAUGCACCCCCCUAUCCACAUCGACGGGACAGUAGUGGAGAAGGUAAAAAGUUAAGUUCCUCAGCGUACACAUCACGGACAAACAGAAAUGGUCCAACCACAGAGGCAGUGUGGUGAAGAAGGCGCAAUUGUUUGGCAAUUUAAUUUCCUUGUUAAAUAGAAUCAGACAACGAUAUCCUAUCAGUUAAGAUGGGUUGGAUAUUCUUAAAGUGUAACCAGAAGUUGGUUCUCACAAUGGAUUAUUUUUCCACAUAAAAAUAGUUUUCACCACAAGGGGUCACUUAUCCCUGAAAGCUGAACUCACAAGGGAUUACAGCAGAGGUGGGACUUCCAUCACACAAGACACAGGGUUUCGCCCUGAAAGAUUAACAAAAUAAAAUGGCUGCUCUUUCUUUGUUAAGAACAAAUUCUUAUUUACAAUGACGGCCUACCCCACCAAACCCCGACGACGCUGGGCCAAUUGUGCGCCGCCCUAAGGAACUCAUAUGCUAUGGAGGUAUAUUUGUGUCUUUUUGUCGAGAGCAAAACUUUUUAUUAUUUUCAAUCAAAAGUAAUUGUUCUGAGAGCAACUUUUUUCUGAGAAAGGAAGUCAUAGCAGACACCUACGAGAAGGACUGCGUGAUGAUGUCAUCUCAGGUAAGCAGCACUGGGCGUUCUUCCAUCCAACUUUUACAUAGCUAGUAGUUAGUUCCUACGAUUCAGUGUCGGUUCAUAACAUUCUACUAUAUUACAUACAUACAUACAUACCGUAGAAUGAUAAAUUAUGCAAUUAUUAUUCUCAAGCUAACCAAAAGCAUUUAGCUACGAUUGCCUGUUCUCGCCAUUUUCAGUUGAAUUAAUCUAAUUUUCUUUCAUGGCAACUCAUAAGCAGGCCAUGUCAUAUUUGUUUCAUAGUCGAUAUAUAAUCAUAUUUCAUGACAGUGUAACGGUUAGCUUUUUUACAGAAGGAUGAAAGAGCACAAUAUGUCUGUCACGAAGAGUUAGGGAGUCUUUACAGAGUGUAGAUGGUGCAGGUAUCAUUGCAUAUUUCCCAUCACACAAUGAACAACCACAAUACCAGUCUGGUGUUAAGCUUUCUGUUCUGUAUUGACGUAUCCUGAAAAUGACAUCUGCUGCUUUAGAUUGAACGGUCAUAUCUCAGUUAUUGUUUUCAUAUCUACAAAAAAAUAAGCUAUUUUCUUUACUUUCAGAGAGCGAGCUGAUCAAGGGGUCAAAAAUGUAGUUAUUGCCAGAUGUUCACUGUCUGAGGAACAGGCAGUGGAAGCUUUAUUGCUGGCAAAAGUGUCCAUAACCAGAGGUUAUAUCAGCUGCUUUGGUGAACCCCUCCCGCAUCUGAACUGGCUGACACAGAGGGCACAGCAUGUUCAUAGGUAUGUUUUGAUGUGAGAGAGGAAGCCAGUCCCGUCAUCGCCACCUCACCCGCUCUUAAGGUAACCUUCGGGCCAACUGGGGGACCAAGGCUGGUUAGGAGACACCGCAAUUGUGAUGAACUGAGAGAAUAUUAGGGUAGCACUGUAAUUCAUUAAUCAUAUGCUGUCUGCCACUGUUCUUACCUCUUUACCUCUGUCUUCUACACCUCUCCCCCCACUUUCUUUCUUCCUCGUUUUAUUUAUAAUAUAAUAUUACACUUAUCAUAAUUACAAUUUAUGUAUUUAUAACACCUAGAUAAUGAACUUCUUUCAAGGAAGCGCUUCACAUUCUCUACUGUUUGAAAUUAAGUAUCUCAUUGAAAUACUAUCCUGUGUCCUCAAAUUAAUGCAGACGAAGGGAGUUAGAUAUGCAUAGUUUUUUUCUGUGUAUAUGAAUUACAAGUCAGACUUUACUUAAAUCAUGAGUAUAGUCUAUUGCAUAGUUAGAAUGUGUAAUCACUGAUGUCCCAGGAGCAGGAGGGCUAAACACUGUUGAAGUGUAGAAUUGUAAUACAUACAUGCAGACACAGCAUCGUUCAAAUAAUGGAGAUUGAUAUGACUGAAAAAGAAUGUGUAAGAGAUUCAUACCUGAACCGCACCUUUAUUUGCCAAGGAAGAGUACAUAAUCAGUGAAUAUAUUCAAUGUACAGGCUACAAUGUGGGAAUCUCAUAUGUGGUAAUAAUUACAGUACAUGUAUAUAGGACAAUAAAGUUAUUAUAUUCUACUCUA